UACGUAGGAGGCAAGCGUUGUCCGGAAUUACUGGGCGUAAAGCGUGCGCAGGCGGUUUUGCAAGCCGGAUGUGAAAUCCCCGGGCUCAACCUGGGAAUGGCAUUCGGGACUGCAAGGCUGGAGUGCGGCAGAGGAGACUGGAAUUCCUGGUGUAGCAGUGAAAUGCGCAGAUAUCAGGAGGAACACCGGUGGCGAAGGCGGGUCUCUGGGCCGAUACUGACGCUGAGGAGCGAAGAGCGUGGGGAGCGAACAGG
rnacentral:rRNA from 1 species